rnacentral:rRNA from 1 species
GACAGAGGGGGCAAGCGUUGCUCGGAAUCACUGGGCUUAAAGGGCGCGUAGGCGGGCAGUCAAGUCUUUUGUGAAAUCCUUCGGCUCAACCGGAGCAUUGCAGGAGAUACUGGCUGUCUCGAGGGGGGUAGGGGCAUGUGGAACUUCCAGUGGAGCGGUGAAAUGCGUAGAGAUUGGAAAGAACACCGAUGGCGAAGGCACUUUACUGGGCUAUGACUAACACUCAGAGACGAAAGCUAGGGUAGCAAAUGGG